UAUGUAUUAUUGUAUUGCAAAUGUAUUAACUUUUCUAAAAUGCCUUUAGCCAAGAUGGAUUUGAUGCUGACUAUUUAAGUGCUUAAGUCUUCAUUAUUCUUGAGCUUUUUGUGAAGUAAAACACUAUGAAAAUUAAAGUGUCGGAUGAAAUUCUGUAGUGUAAAGAGGUAGUGUGGUUAAAUAAGUACCAAACUAAUAUAUCUGCUCGGCAGUAUCACAUUUACUUUUACAGUUACAGAUUGCAGAAGGCUCAUAAGAGUUAAAAUCAAGUCAGGAGGAUGUCAUUUUUUGAGACAUACCUGAUCAAGUUUGUUGAAUAACUCCUGCUUAACAUCAAGCCUCUCGACAAUUGCUUCGACAAUCAGAUCGACAUUUGCACCAUCUUCCAGUUUAGUUGAAACUGUGAUCCUAUCACUUGCUUCUUUAACAAAAGCUUCAAUUUUUACUGGGUCAUCUUUGUAUGUUCUUCUAGCAACACGGUUAAGGUUGUUCUGAAUAGAUUUCUGAGCUUUCUCCAGUAA